CUCGGGUUUUAGAUUGACAGCUGUGUUUCCAGGGCAACUGUAAACGGACGCCCGAGUAGCCAUGGCGGAGCUCCUGCAGAUUCAAUCUGUACUCGAAGAGUUCCGAAAGCUUCACUUUUACAAAGCAAGGUUAGCUGAGGCAACCAGACGUGCGGAAUAUCAGGCUGCUAUCCGAAUUCAGAGCAUGCUCCGAGGCUACAGGGUGCGCUUUUACAUCAGGCGUCUGCAUGAGAAGGCGGUCAUUAUACAGAAGAUAUGGCGGGGCUUCAGAGCAAGGGCACGUUGCAGACAAAUGGUGAUGGCAAAAUAUGUUAUCAUGAAGAUGAAUUUCUACAAUGAGAUGGCGGUCAGGAUCCAGCGAAGGUGGCGAGGAUUCUAUGUGCGAAAGUACAUCCAUAGCUUCUAUUCACGCAAGAGCUAUCUGGAAAGACUAUCCAGAACAAACGAAUUAGUAAGGAGAGAGAUGGAUGAACUUGAAGAGCUCCAGAAACGAGAGAGAUUCUGUCUGAAAAAGGUGAACGAGCAGAAAGCCAAAGUCUACCAAGCUUACAGAUGGCACCACCUCCUCAGCACAAAACAGUGCCCAGGGGUCUUCAACUCUCCAUUCAGGCUGGCCCCCCAUGAGAUGGAGUUACUACUGAGGCAAGUCAAGUACCUGGCCCCCACCAUGCUAGUCCCUAAGGACUAUGGUCAUCUCAUUCCUGCAGCUCCAACACACUCCAGUUUUGAUGGGACUGUCGAAUCCCAAAGGAGCAAAACAAGAGCCUGCUGUUCCCCCAGGCCUAUACUUCCCCGCAUCACUAGCACAAAACAGCAGGUCCAGAUCAGAGACCCCGGAGAGAUGUGGGAGCAAAAUGUACGUUUUCCUGAGCAGACUGUAAGUCUGCAGAACUCGUACGCACACCUGGAAGAGGCUCAGAGUGAUUUGCGAUUCUACAGUGGCACACAAGGACCAGAAAGUAUGCGCCAUUUGGACCAUAGCAGUCAUGCCCUUCCUCAUCCAGAAAAUGCCAAGAACCUCACAUAGUGCGGAUACACUGAUACCAACAGAAGGUAGGUUAGCAAUUAUAUAUACAAAUGUACUAAGGUUUAUUUAUUUCAACAACUUCAUACCUAAUUAUUGACUAUAAGAUAUCCACCACACUGCCGUCAGAUGAAGAGCCCAGAGAUAAUAGUAGCUUAAAAUGCAACAUCUUACCUCAUUUUGUGCCAGAGACUUAUUAAUACGUUUUCACAAAUCCAUCUAUUUAGUGCCAAAGACGUAUUAACACGUUUUCUGUGGGGGGUUUUUUGUUUUGUUUUGGGGUUUUUUUUUUUUAAAUUGAGGGUUUAGUGCAGCUUCACAAUAAGAAUCAAAGGCUAGGGAAGGAUUUUAGUAUAUCGACACUAGAUGGCAGCAGUGGCUUUGAUCAGAGCUUUGUCAGCACGUUUGCAGGAAGACGACAUCCAUUGAGGGCCCAUGUGGGCUUGGUGGGGAGUUGUCGGACCGUCGUUAAAAGAAAGCUGGUGAUCAACAUUUAAAGCAAAAAAAACACUGAUAAAUACGUACAGCUUACUCCAAAACAGAGUUUUGCUAACGCCAAAAGGUAUGAGGACGUACCAUCGUGACCAUAUCACGGUCCACUUCCCUGGAAACGUGGGCAUUCGGACUCGGGAGUACAAUGAGCCUGAUCCGGAUUCAUUCCUAUCUGGGAGCAGAAGGAUGUCCUUCCCUGAGCCCCCAGAAAGUCACGGAAAAGUUGGUGCAUCCAGCAGCAGAUACACUCCCACACCUGUUGGCAAGAAAGGUGCAUCAAGCAGUGGUGGGGCUGUUCAUGGCUGGUCGUCUGCUGAAUGGGAACCCACAAAAGUCCCACGCGCGGGCACGCACACACACACACACACACACAGGGGAUUCCGAGGGGAUCCCAAGGCGUUCCCAGGCCAGCCGAGAGACGUAGUCUCUCCAGCGUGUCCUGGGUCGUCCCUUGGGUCUCUGGUGAGACGUGCCCAGAACACCUCACCAGGGAGGCGUCCAGGAGGCAUCCUAAACAGAUGCCCGAGCCACCUCAUCUGGCUCCUCUCAAUGCGUAGGAGCAGCGGCUCUACUCUGAGCCUCUCCCGGAUGACCGAGCUUCUAACCCUAUCUCUAAGGGAGAGCCCUGACACCCUGCGGAGGAAACUCAUUUCGGCCGCUUGUAUCCAGGAUCUUGUUCUUUCGGUCAAAACCCACAGACCCACAGCUCGUGACUAUAGGUGAGGGUAGGAACAAGUGUUCAAGAUACUUGAACUCUUCCACUUGGGAUAGGAUCUCAUUCCUGAACCGGAGAGGGUACUCCACCCUUUUCCGAAUGAGCACCAUGGUCUCAGAUUUGGAGGUGCUGAUUCUCACCCCAGCCACUUCACACUCUGCUGCGAACCGCUCCAGUGAGAGUUGGAGGUCAUGGCUUGAUGAAGCCAACAGAACCACAUUAUCUGCAAAAAGCAAAGAUUGAAUUACGGAGGCCACCAAACCGGACCCCCUAUACGCCUCAGCUGCCCCUAGAAAUUCUGUCCAUAAAAGUUAUGAACAGUCCAUGCAUCAACAAUUUGAAAAUGCAUGUUAUACUAUAUACUAAACUUAUUUUGCUAUCAAAAUACCCUUUUUUGUGUUGUUUGUAUUGUCAUAGUAGGAAAGCAUUGUUUAGAUAUUUGAGCUAUCAUAAAAGCAAAAAAUAAAAAUAAAAAAUUAGAAUCAAAGUGGAAGUUCUGCUUGAAAUGCAUCGUUUCACAAAAAGCUCUUCUGUUUUUCUUGGAAACAGGUAUUUUCAAGAAACUUACUAUGUUCAACAGCUCUUUACUCAAGAACGGUAAAAGGUAGAAAUGCACUUUUUUCCUGAUGAAAGAAGAGGGUUAAGUCUGGCUGAGACCCAGAUCUCCCUAUUUUUGAAAAACUGCUGGCAUUUAAUUUGUUAAGUCAUGUUCACCUGGAUAGAGGCUAUUGCUAAGCUUUGUGGUUAAUAUAGAAACACAUACAAUUCAUGUAGAUAUAAACAAUAGACUAAGGUUGAUUCAGGGGUUGCCAGGGCUCCUGCCUGAUGUGUAACACACUAUCCUUUCAAAUAUAAGAGGAAAAAUAGAGACUCGGUGCAGUCAAGCCCUUUCAAUUUGAGUUGCACAAAUUUGUCAAAAGUGACAGCAAUUUAAUAAAUCGUCGCUCUCCAUCAGACGCAUGUGUACACCCACCCACACACACCAACACAAUUCCCAGUUAUGCCCUCCAUUGCCCCCUUUCCAUGUAUACGUAAAUGAGGUGUGUGUGCUGCCUGUUGGAGAGAGAGUGCGCGUGGGCCCUGCGGUUUGGUCCAGGCAUUAGGUAAUUGACUGUGUCUUUGCUCAAGGCCUUUCAUGGAUCACCGUCCUUUAUUAGCUCACUUCCCAGCAUGCACGCAUACAUAUAUGUGCAUGCACACACACAAACUUCCCAGCAGUUCCACCCAACCUCAUACCCCCCCACCACCAGCAGCAGCAGACCCAAUUGCCCGGAAACAAGGAGUGAAACAAGCAAGAGGGAGAGAGAAGAACAAGAGAAGGAGAGCGCAGCGACAGGGGAAUGAACUCACACGGCCCCAGGAAAUGCAGAUAAAUAAGAAUGGGGAUUGAAUGGGUGGGGCAAUGCAGUCUCCCACAGCUGACAACUUGGGCUGGAGGUGUACACUCUGUGUUGAUCAGAUGGUCCAUGAUGGCUUAUACAGAAGAAGUCAUGGGCUAUUUCGCAUAAUUGCAAGAUUAGCACUGAUCCCAUGGCAGAUCAUCAAGAAAGCAACUUUUCAUAAAGGGAACCCUUACCUAGCCUACCACACGUAUUUUUUUGUAUUUUUUAUUUGAUCAAAGAACACAAACAACCCAACCUAUACUCUAUGAACCAAAGGUUUGGCACUAUUCCAUGAAUAUCUACUAGGGGUUGAACGACUUCUGAUUUGUUUGUAUUGGACGCUAAGGUGAUGAUAGUCGAGUCGACUUUGACUAAAGGAUCACAUCACUGAUAUUUUUUGCAGUCUUCAACUCGUUCUGCGCACUUCCAUAAACAAGAUGGCUCAUUCACUUUUCGCAACAUGCUCGUUUGCGCAGGACCCACCACCUGACUCUUUCAUCCAAUUACAUUCAGACACUUGCGCAUCAAAUCACAUUCAGACACCUUUAUUGCCUUGCAGACAGUCAGAAAUUAUAAAACUAACACCAAUUCACAUAACUGCUGCAGGGUUGCUACUUGUUUUAGUAUUUAAUAGCAUAUAAGUUUAAUAAAUUACUGGAGGAAAUUCUUUACAAUAAAAUACUGGAGCUUUUGCAGGAAGGUCUUAAGGAGAUAACAUCGAGUUUAUUGUUUCUCAUCCUUGGCCCACUUCUAUUAUAUUGCUGCCAGUCAAAUCUCUUCGGACCACGUUUCUGUCUGUUGCUUCAUCCUUGUGUGCCUCUCUACCUCUAUUUGCGCUCUCUGCCUGUGUGGUAAUUAGUGAAUAAGUCCUAUCGUUGGAAGCACCCCCAGCUACAGCAGCAGCCAGCAGAGCUUUUUGUCACAGCGCAGAGAGCCGAUGGAGUGGACAGCUCAGCCUUGAUACUCAUCAUCUUCGUACUGUGCCGGGGCUAUGCCUCCCCCACAGCCACAUUAUCUGGCUAUGCUAUCCAGCCACGCUCCUAAUUAUUUUCAAAUCCCAGCCGAAGCCCUAUCACCCACCCUGCCACAUUACCCUGCUCUGCUUGUAAUCAUCACCUUAAGCCUUGCUUUGUAGCCUGAAGUCCCGUCAUUAGCAUAUCCCAAUUUUUGCUAGCUGCAUACUCUGCCUCUCUGGGUUGACCAUCACAGCUCUGGAAAUAGCCCAUGACUCCUGGACCUUUAUUUACUAUACCCAUCUGUGUCACAGCAAGAAAGGCUGUCAGUGUUACUGUUGUGGCCCUGUCACGACUUACAGACAUCCACACAUAAUCACAAUGAUGACAGUCCCCGCCUCUCCAAGAAUUCAAUGGCCCCCAUUUUACACCAAGGGGUGCUUGCCCUUUCUCCAUCGUUCUUGUCCUUGCCCUCAUUAAACAGGUCCCUCUCAAAUGAUGGCUUUCUUGGAAGUCGGCAAUUGUUUAUUAUAUGAAUUUAUGUGCAAAUGACUAUAACAAACUAAAACUCUGACCUUACUUAGCCUUUGCCCUUUAAGAACCUAAUAUCGAACAUGGGUUUUCUGAAGACUGCUGGCCACUCAUCUCAACUGUAGUUACCUAGAAUGUCAGAACUGCAGUCUAACACUACUAACUACCUCAACACUCCAUCCAUCCAUUAUUCUAUAGCACUUGUACUCAGGUAACUAGAGCCUAUGCCACCUGGCUUUAAGUGUAAUGUGGGGUAUACGCUGGACUGGUUUCCAGCCAGUAGCGCACACACACACACACAUCACACCUAUGGAUUAUGUUUUUGCAAUGUGGGGGGUGGAACGGACUACACCAUAAAACAUGCAAACUCCACAUAGAAAUUUUCCAACAGAGGUUUGAACUCACAUCUCCUGACUGAGGCAGAUGUGUUAACCACUACCUCACUGUGAUACCCUACCAUUACUUUGCAUUUACUAAAUUAUCAUUUGUACACAUA